GAAUUCCAUAAUCACAGCGGGCGAGAGCGGAGACUGGGAGCGAAAAAUCCGGGAUCCGGCAACUUUGGGUAGCGCAUGCGCGCCCGCGGCGCUCCAUCCCAAACACACACACACAUUUUUCCCCCGGACUUGGAAAGUCACCCAAAGCCGCCCCAAGUGCAGGUGAGCGGACCUUGCUGAGCGAAGGCAAAGCCCGUCUCCAGCCCACCCGCCUCUCCGGCCGCCUCCUCUGCCCCCCUCCUGCAGAAGGGGUCCUGCCGUUCGCCAGGGUGCUUUGGAAUGGACUUCGGACCCCGGCGCCUUGGGACGCAAAGGAUGAAGUGACGCCCCCACUGCGAGAGAGGAACCUCUAGGACCUGCUGCAAGGUCCAGACGGGAUACCUCUGUUCCCUGGACACCGGGACGGAGCCUGGCCUCCCUGGUCCUGAAAGUCAGCCCUAGACGCUUCCGUUCUCUGCAGCAAGGCUUGGCCGAGUGCAGCCCACGGGCCAGAGGUGGCCCACUGCCUGUGCUGUAAAUAAAGUUUUAUUGGAACACAGCCACGCCCACCCGUUUUCGCAU